CACUUGGGGUAAGUUCCUUGGAAGAGGACAGCAUGGAGGGUGAUACUCCCGUUCAUCCCUGAGUGGCUCGUGCGUACGACCCGUUUUCUUUGAGUCGCGUUGUUUGGGAAUGCAGCGCAAAGUAGGUGGUAAAUUCCAUCUAAAGCUAAAUAUUGGUGCGAGACCGAUAGCAUACAAGUACCGUGAGGGAAAGAUGAAAAGAACUUUGAAAAGAGAGUUAAAGAGUACCUGAAACUGCUGAAAGGGAACCGAAUCGUUUCCAGUGUCUAUAAUCCGUGACAUAUUUCAUUGACGAGUGUGUGCGUGCGUGUGCUAUGGCAGCGGCUUUUUUGGCUGCGCUUGGCGUGUGUGCUGUGUGUGCUUGCUGGUGCCCUGUGCUGCGGUGGGACGUCAAUGUCAGUUCGUAUGCUGCGGGAAAUGGCUGCCGAGGAGGUAGGGCUUACGCUUGCGUUUGUCUGUUAUAUCUUGGUGGACGAGUAGUCGCGGUUGGGACUGAGGUGCCUACAACGUGCUUUUGAGUGGGUUUGUGUCUCCGUGUGCACCGUGUGCGGAUAGCUUGCUAUGUGUGUGUGGUUGUGUGUGGAUUGAUGCGAGCUUUAACUUGUUGCCGUUCGGGACGUUGGCGAAAUGGAGCGAUCCGACCCGUCUUGAAACACGGACCAAGGAGUCUAACAUGUGUGCAAGUGUUAGGGUGUGGAAACCCCAGCGCGAAAUGAAAGUGAAGGGCAUGCGCAAGCUGUCUGAGGUAGGAAACGUUGUGGACUUCGGUCUGCGGCGUGGCACUAUCGACCGAUCAUGAACCUUCGUGGUGAAAGAUUUGAGUUUGAGCACAUAUGUUGGUACCCGAAAGAUGGUGAACUAUGCCUGAGUAGGGUGAAGCCAG
rnacentral:rRNA from 1 species